rnacentral:rRNA from 1 species
GACGAACGCUGGCGGCGUGCUUAACACAUGCAAGUCGAACGGAAAGGCCCUGCUUUUGUGGGGUGCUCGAGUGGCGAACGGGUGAGUAACACGUGAGUAACCUGCCCUUGACUUUGGGAUAACUUCAGGAAACUGGGGCUAAUACCGGAUAGGAGCUCCUGCUGCAUGGUGGGGGUUGGAAAGUUUCGGCGGUUGGGGAUGGACUCGCGGCUUAUCAGCUUGUUGGUGGGGUAGUGGCUUACCAAGGCUUUGACGGGUAGCCGGCCUGAGAGGGUGACCGGCCACAAUGGGACUGCGAGACGGAGCAGACUCCUACGGUAGGCAGCAGUGGGGAAUAUUGCACAAUGGGCGGAAGCCUGAUGCAGCAACGCCGCGUGCGGGAUGACGGCCUUCGGGUUGUAAAACGCUUUCGCCUGUGACGAAGCGUGAGUGACGGUAAUGGGUAAAGAAGCACCGGCUAACUACGUG